rnacentral:rRNA from 1 species
UACGUAGGGUGCAAGCGUUGUCCGGAAUUACUGGGCGUAAAGCGAGUGUAGGCGGUUUCCUAAGUCAGGUGUGAAAGCCCCGGGCUCAACCCGGGAAGUGCACUUGAAACUGGGAGGCUAGAGUAUCGGAGAGGUUGGUGGAAUUCUCGGUGUAGAGGUGAAAUUCGUAGAUAUCGAGAGGAACACCGGUGGCGAAGGCGGCCAACUGGACGAAUACUGACGCUGAGACUCGAAAGCGUGGGGAGCAAACAGG